UCCGGUUGAUCCCGCCGGACCUGACUGCUAUCGGAUUGAUACUAAGCCAUGCGAGUCAUUGUAGCAAUACAAGGCAUACGGCUCAGUAACGCGUAGUCAACCUAACCUAUGGACGGGAAUAACCUCGGGAAACUGAGAAUAAUGCCCGAUAGAACACUAUACCUGGAAUGGUUUGUGUUCCAAAUGAUUAUCGCCAUAGGAUGGGACUGCGGCCUAUCAGUUUGUUGGUGAGGUAAUGGCCCACCAAGACUAUUACAGGUACGGGCUCUGAGAGGAGUAGCCCGGAGAUGGGUACUGAGACACGGACCCAGGCCCUAUGGGGCGCAGCAGGCGAGAAAACUUUGCAAUGUGCGAAAGCACGACAAGGUUAAUCCGAGUGAUUUGUGCUAAACGAAUCUUUUGUUAGUCCUAGAAACACUAACGAAUAAGGGGUGGGCAAGUUCUGGUGUCAGCCGCCGCGGUAAAACCAGCACCUCAAGUGGUCAGGAUGAUUAUUGGGCCUAAAGCAUCCGUAGCCGGCUCUGUAAGUUUUCGGUUAAAUCUGUACGCUUAACGUACAGGCUGCCGGGAAUACUGCAAAGCUAGGGAGUGGGAGAGGUAGACGGUACUCGGUAGGAAGUGGUAAAAUGCUUUGAUCUAUCGAUGACCACCUGUGGCGAAGGCGGUCUACCAGAACACGUCCGACGGUGAGGGAUGAAAGCUGGGGGAGCAAACCGGAUUAGAUACCCGGGUAGUCCCAGCUGUAAACUAUGCAAACUCAGUGAUGCAUUGGCUUGUGGCCAAUGCAGUGCUGCAGGGAAGCCGUUAAGUUUGCCGCCUGGGAAGUACGUACGCAAGUAUGAAACUUAAAGGAAUUGGCGGGGGAGCACCACAAGGGGUGAAGCCUGCGGUUCAAUUGGAUUCAACGCCGGA
rnacentral:rRNA from 1 species